rnacentral:rRNA from 1 species
UACGAAGGGGGCUAGCGUUGCUCGGAAUCACUGGGCGUAAAGCGCACGUAGGCGGAUUGCUAAGUCAGGGGGUGAAAUCCUGGAGCUCAACUCCAGAACUGCCUUUGAUACUGAAGAUCUUGAGUUCGGGGAGAGGUGAGUGGAACUGCGAGUGUAGAGGUGAAAUUCGUAGAUAUUCGCAAGAACACCAGUGGCGAAAGCGGCUUCCUGGUCCAGCACCGACGCAGGCACGAAAGCGUGGGGAGCAAACAGG